CAGAGUUGUUGGUUGCACCACGGUUUGUAAGACCAAGUGGUGGGAAAAUACCUAACUGGACAAGAGGUACAUUUAUCCAACGGAAAAGAGAAAGAGGAAACUAUGUAAUUCAGGUUGCAUUAUUUACUGUCAAAUGGAAACAUCUAGGGGCAAAACAGUUUAUAGCGGUAUGCUGCUGUUUGUGCGUCAAAGAGGGGUGCAUGCGCCCAUAUUUACUUGUACCUUCAUUAAAUAACUCCUCAGAUGUCCUCUCGCCUCCAGGUUUCAAAUUAAGGGCAGGGGGACGUCCCUUCCCGCCUCCCUGCCCUUCACACUCUUUGACCCAAAAUGACUCAUGUUUGUUACCCAGCCCAGGUUACCAGCUAACCUUUGAGGACACCAGCUGCUUCUCGUCAGGAAGCACCGGGAGCCACUCCCCUCUUCCCGACUCCAGACUCCAGACUGGGGGACCGGCUCUCCCUUCUUCCCACGUCUCCUGGACCAAGCGGCUCUGCAUCCACCCAGGAAGGAGAGCCUUGAGGUUUCUUGCAAGAACCUGAGGGGCGUCUCCGGAGUCCAAGAAUACCGGCGGGACCGACGGAGUCUGCUCAGCCCAGCCUAAGGAGGAAGUUCCACUUUCAUCUGUUCAGUUCUGGGCUCAAGAGGGAGCCGUUUGGAGGAAGAGUUCGGUGGCGAGAACUGGUGGAGUAGAUGGAGGCGGCCAGCACAGCCAGCCUGGAGAUGCCGAGGCCGCCCCCGAACCUCUGCCCACGCUGCCGUGCCCACCGGACGUCAUUCGCACUCCUCCAGGAAAGUGGUCCUCGAUCUUCUCCCAACAGCCCUCCCACCUCCAGCCCUGAGUCCAGUUCUUGAAUUCUGUGUGUGUGUGUGUGUGUGUGACAGCUCCACACUCAGGGCUACUGGCCAUCCUUCCAGACAACUCAGAUUUCCCUAAAUUGUGCACCUCAACCAAAUAAAACAGCCAG
rnacentral:lncRNA from 1 species